rnacentral:snRNA from 1 species
GUGGUCAUUUCAGCAGCACACGUACUAAAACUGGAACAAUACAGGGAAGACUAGUGUGGCUCCUGUGCACAGAUGAGAUACAGAUUUAUGAAGCAUCCCAUUACAGAUUUUC